rnacentral:rRNA from 1 species
CCUACGGGUGGCAGCAGUCGAGAAUCAUUCACAAUGGGGGAAACCCUGAUGGUGCGACGCCGCGUGGGGGAAUGAAGGUCUUCGGAUUGUAAACCCCUGUCAUGUGGGAGCAAAUUAAAAAGAUAGUACCACAAGAGGAAGAGACGGCUAACUCUGUGCCAGCAGCCGCGGUAAUACAGAGGUCUCAAGCGUUGUUCGGAAUCACUGGGCGUAAGGCGUGCGUAGGCUGUUUCGUAAGUCGUGUGUGAAAGGCGCGGGCUCAACCAGCGGACGGCACAUGAUACUGCGAGACUAGAGUAAUGGAGGGGGAACCGGAAUUCUCGGUGUAGCAGUGAAAUGCGUAGAUAUCGAGAGGAACACUCGUGGCGAAGGCGGGUUCCUGGACAUUCACUGACGCUGAGGCACGAAGGCCAGGGGAGCGAAAGGGAUUAGAUACCCUUGUAGUC